rnacentral:rRNA from 1 species
AGUGAACGCUGGCGGUAGGCCUAACACAUGCAAGUCGAACGGCAGCACAGGAGAGCUUGCUCUCUAGGUGGCGAGUGGCGGACGGGUGAGGAAUACAUCGGAAUCUGCCCAGUCGUGGGGGAUAACGUAGGGAAACUUACGCUAAUACCGCAUACGACCUUCGGGUGAAAGAGGGGGAUCGCAAGACCUCUCGCGAUUGGAUGAGCCGAUGUCGGAUUAGCUAGUUAGCGGGGUAAUGGCCCACCAAGGCGACGAUCCGUAGCUGGUCUGAGAGGAUGAUCAGCCACACUGGAACUGAGACACGGCCCAGACUCCUACGGGAGGCAGCAGUGGGGAAUAUUGGACAAUGGGCGCAAGCCUGAUCCAGCCAUACCGCGUGGGUGAAGAAGGCCUUCGGGUUGUAAAGCCCUUUUGUUGGGAAAGAAAUCUUUCAGGCUAAUACCCUGGGAGGAUGACGGUACCCAAAGAAUAAGCACCGGCUAACUUCGUG